UUUAGGGGCUACAACAUACAGUU
rnacentral:piRNA from 1 species